UGGGGAAUAUUGCACAAUGGGCGAAAGCCUGAUGCAGCGACGCCGCGUGAGGGAUGACGGCCUUCGGGUUGUAAACCUCUUUCAGCAGGGAAGAAGCGAAAGUGACGGUACCUGCAGAAGAAGCGCCGGCUAACUACGUGCCAGCAGCCGCGGUAAUACGUAGGGCGCAAGCGUUGUCCGGAAUUAUUGGGCGUAAAGAGCUCGUAGGCGGUUUGUCGCGUCUGCUGUGAAAACGCGAGGCUCAACCUCGCGCCUGCAGUGGGUACGGGCAGACUAGAGUGCGGUAGGGGAGACUAGAAUUCCUGGUGUAGCGGUGGAAUGCGCAGAUAUCAGGAGGAACACCGGUGGCGAAGGCGGGUCUCUGGGCCGUAACUGACGCUGAGGAGCGAAAGCAUGGGGAGCGAACA
rnacentral:rRNA from 1 species